rnacentral:rRNA from 1 species
UACGGAGGGGGCUAGCGUUGUUCGGAAUUACUGGGCGUAAAGCGCACGUAGGCGGAUCAGAAAGUCAGGGGUGAAAUCCCGGGGCUCAACCCCGGAACUGCCUUUGAAACUCCUGAUCUUGAGGUCGAGAGAGGUGGGUGGAAUUCCGAGUGUAGAGGUGAAAUUCGUAGAUAUUCGGAGGAACACCAGUGGCGAAGGCGGCCCACUGGCUCGAUACUGACGCUGAGGUGCGAAAGCGUGGGGAGCAAACAGG